UACGUAGGCAGCGAGCGUUGUUCGGAGUUACUGGGCGUAAAGGGCGCGUAGGCGGCCACCGCAAGUCGACUGUGAAAUCUCCGGGCUUAACCCGGAAAGGUCAGCCGAUACUGCGGGGCUAGAGUGCAGAAGGGGCAACUGGAAUUCUCGGUGUAGCGGUGAAAUGCGUAGAUAUCGAGAGGAACACCUGCGGCGAAGGCGGGUUGCUGGGCCGACACUGACGCUGAGACGCGAAAGCCAGGGGAGCGAACGGG
rnacentral:rRNA from 1 species